UACUCUUUUAUGUUGUUUUUCCUAACUUUGGACUCUAUCUCCUAUCCUGCAUUAAAACUAACAAAAUAGCCUAAAUCAGAUAAUAAACAAUUCAAUUAAGCACUCAAAAUGGGCAAUAGAAAUGUUGUUUUCGCGCACUAUUAGUUGAAAAGUCACUUAGGUGAGUAUUUUUGUAAUCCUAACAUUUGCAUAUAUGCAACAAUAAGAGGUCGUAAGUGCUCACGAAGCAAUAUGCCUCAAGAACACACUAGGAAUUGUCCAAGAAGGGAGAUUGACCACGAAGAAUCUCGUCAAGUCCACACUAU
rnacentral:lncRNA from 1 species